CUUUGACCACUUGCCUGACCCUGAGCGUUGGUGAGAAUCUGACUGCUGAUCCCCGGCAUGCUGGGAAUGGCGUUGGCAAUGACCGGAGUUGUGCUCUACUACCAAGCCAGGAGCCACGCUGGAUAGACACUGGCAUGGGGCCGUGAGCCUCUAGCGCCACUUUAGCAGCGGCUCACAAGUUUGCAAUCCCCAGACAUCAUCCCACCCUCCAAGGCUGGUCCACGGUCCAGGUUCUGGAAGGUUGGGCCAGCCCUCUUGGCAGAGGUUGUUUGCUCUUGGCUGGGAUGCAUGGGCUGACAGCUGCCUUGGAAGGAGCCCAUCUCUGCCGAAGUGUUGGAAAAGAGCCGCAUUCAAGGGGCUGGUCCUCCACCUCCAUACUCCCCCGUGGCAAGGGUCAGGUUCACCCUUGACCAGAGAUCCGGUCCAUCCCUGGUGAGCCUUGGGGCCUGGAGAUGUGUAGGUUCAGAACCAGAAGUGGAAUCUUCUUGCAGUCCUUCUCAGGAGGCUGGUCACAGGCUCCCUUGUGAUAUACCACACAGACAAAAUGGGAACCACUGAACUAGAGAACCUUCCAAGCCUGCAUUCCCAGCUCCUGUUUUAAUCUGGGAAGGCACCAACCUAAGCCAGGACGAUUAACAGUAUACAAUUUAAAAAUCCAGACUGCUUCAAGGAUGAAAGAGACAAGCAACCACAAAAACCAUAUAAAAAUACCAAAGAAAACCAAACAGCAGAUUUAUGUCCACUGUGAAGGGAAAUAUAUUUCUAACUGUUGAAUAAAAAUCAGAGAAGAUGAGGAUAAUCUGAACCUCUGAGAAUUUAAAAAAUAUUUCACUUGACAAAGUGUCAUGAAACCGGGACUUCCCUGGUGAUCCAGUGGUUAAGUCU